rnacentral:rRNA from 1 species
UUGAUCCUGCCGGACCCGACUGCUAUCAGAGUGAGAUUAAGCCAUGCGAGUCAACGUAGCAAUACGUGGCACACGGCUCAGUAACACGUAGUCAACAUAACCAAAGGACGUGGAUAAACUCGGGAAACUGAGGCUAAACCGCGAUAGAUCAAGAUAUCUGGAGUGGUUUUUGAUCAAAAUCUAUAUGGCCUUUGGAUUGGACUGCGUCCGAUCAGGCUGUUGGUGAGGUAAUGGCCCACCAAACCUGUAACCGGUACGGGCUCUGAGAGGAGGAGCCCGGAGAUGGGUACUGAGACAAGGACCCAGGCCCUAUGGGGCGCAGCAGGCGCGAAACCUCUGCAAUAGGCGAAAGCCUGACAGGGUUACUCUGAGUGACUUUCGCUAAGAAAGUCUUUUGACACCUCUAAAAAUGGUGUAGAAUAAGGGGUGGGCAAGUCUGGUGUCAGCCGCCGCGGUAAUACCAGCACCCCGAGUGGUCGGGACGAUUAUUGGGCCUAAAGCAUCCGUAGCCGGUUUUACAAGUCCUCCGUUAAAUCCAGCUGCUUAACAGAUGGGCUGCGGAGGAUACUAUAAGACUAGGAGGCAGGAGAGGCAAGCGGUACUCAGUGGGUAGGGGUAAAAUCCGUUGAUCCAUUGAAGACCACCAGUGGCGAAGGCGGCUUGCCAGAAUGCGCUCGACGGUGAGGGAUGAAAGCUGGGGGAGCAAACCGGAUUAGAUACCCGGGUAGUCCCAGCUGUAAACGAUGCAGAC